rnacentral:rRNA from 1 species
AUUGAACGCUGGCGGCAUGCCUAACACAUGCAAGUCGAACGGCAGCGCGGAGAGCUUGCUCUCUGGCGGCGAGUGGCGGACGGGUGAGUAAUGCAUAGGAAUCUGCCCAGUAGCGGGGGACAACCUGGGGAAACUCAGGCUAAUACCGCAUACGCCCUACGGGGGAAAGCGGGGGACCUUCGGGCCUCGCACUAUUGGAUGAGCCUAUGUCAGAUUAGCUUGUUGGUGGGGUAAAGGCCUACCAAGGCGACGAUCUGUAGCUGGUCUGAGAGGACGAUCAGCCACACUGGGACUGAGACACGGCCCAGACUCCUACGGGAGGCAGCAGUGGGGAAUAUUGCACAAUGGGCGAAAGCCUGAUGCAGCAAUGCCGCGUGUGUGAAGAAGGC